rnacentral:misc_RNA from 1 species
GGAGACACUCUAUUAAGCAUAGAUGAUGCUUUUAGGGGACAUAUACUGACAAAAAAACCAAGUGAUUCCAUGGCCAGAAUAUUAAAUCUUCUCAUUUUGAUCCUUUUUGCAUUGAGGAUUUUGGGAAGGCUCGUGUAAUGCAAAACAUUGAAGCUUAACAAUAACAGAAUUAGGAUAUUGCAAAACAUACGCUGCCUUCUUUCAAGGAAACUAGCUGAUUUAGUAAUGAAAGUUCUAAUUUGUGCUGUCAAAUUGCUUGCAGUAUGAAAUUACAACUACUUCAACCUGUACUAUCAUGGUUAUUGUGAUCUUCUUCACAAUUGUACACCCCCCAUCGAUUGUGAUGCGAAUCAUUGAACGAGCAAGGAAACGUGCACCAACCCAUCGAAGGGCUCUUCAAGGGCUCGAUCCCACAAAGGAGCUUCCAAUCUUGUUAUGUGUUCACGGAACACAUAAUGUUCCUUCAACCAUCAACUUCAUGGAGAUUUCUCGAGGGACAGCUGAUCCUGGAAUCUUGGUGUAUGUCACUGACAUGGUUGAACUCACAGAUCAAAUAGCUGCCUCAUUGGUGCAGAGUGAUGGAAUGGACACUAUGACAGUAACUGAUAAGCAAGUCACAGACAUGAGAGAUCAAAUCACCCAAACAAUCCAAGCUUACGUGGAUGAAAAUGGAGAUGGAAUCACUUUGAGAAGAAUGCUUGCUCUUUCAAGUUUUAAUAGCAUGACUCAAGACAUCUGCACUUUAGCAGAGGACUUAAUGGUCUCCCUGAUGAUCUUGCCAUUUCAUAAGAACCAGUGUGCAGAUGGAACAUUAGAUGGGGGUCAUCCUGGGUUCCGAUAUGUGAAUCGGAAGGUAAACAUUACAAAUUUAACAAUAACAUGUUCAUAAUUCUUCAUCUUCCUAUCUCAUGCAUGAACAAGUUCAACAUUAUAACUGCAAAUCUAACUUGUAACUUACUAAUGGUUCUGGAUUAUAACAGAUGCUUAGAAAUGCCCCAUGCUCAGUGGGGAUUCUAGUGGAUAGAGGUCUUGGAUUAGCUGAGAAUAUAUCAACAACGCCAAGAUCCUUCCAUGUAGCAGUCAUCUUCAUUGGAGGCAAGGAUGACAGAGAAGCACUAGCCUAUGCAGGACGUGUUGCGCGACAUCCAGGAGUAAAGCUCACAGUGAUAAGAUUCCUGCUUGAUGAUAA